GAAUCUGAUUGGCUAAGAGGCGUGCAAUAUUCUACUGAUAACGGCACAGUAACCGAUUCACCUUUCGUAUCAUUCCGCCACCUAGUGAAUGGAGGUCCUUUAAACAGGCUCAUCUCUGAAUGGAAAAACUGCACGGACACACAGAGACGCUCUGUUUUUAAACACUCUCCGUGUGUCUCAUUGGUUCACUAGCUCGUAAAUCAGUAUGUGAAUCCCAAUCGAAAGUUAUUAUUCCGUCAAAGAUCAGCCGUCUUGGAUGUUACGUUAAACUUAAUGGGAGUAAUGUCUUGUCACAUCGUGUGGACGAUUAACACUUGGAAAGAGGAAUGUAAACAAAGAACGCGAAAACACCGUGGAACUGCAGAUCCAGAUCUCAACGGUCAAGAGGUCGAGGGGUCCUGGCAGGGAUGUUUAGGAACGUUCUCCUCUAAAUACAGGAAGUAAAAAGCAGGGACAACAGGAAGUCGAGGGGCUACAAUAGAAAGAGUUCCACCUAACACAGGUCUUAAGAGAGAAACACACAACAAACAUCAACACAAACCUGACCUAAAAAACCAAAGCUAUACACUUCUUAUCUGUGCAUGAACCCUCUCAAAGUUGGAAGUGUGUUGGUCAAAGACCAACUGAAUACCAAAAUGGCAUUGGAUUAAAGUGAAAGUUGCAUAAUUGCCAAGUAUAGUAACCCAAUCCCAGCAAUUUAACCCAUCCCAGUAAACUAUCAAUGCAAUUCCUGUCUCAAGGGUGCCUUGCUCAAGUACACCUUAGUCGCUACGUGCCAACAAUGAGAAUCCAACCGACGACCUUUGCGUUACAAACCCGAGUCUCUAACAUCACUGAAGAUCUGUUGUAUGACCCUUCUUCUUAGCAGUCUGGAGAAACAUAAACCUGUGAAAGUGGACAGGACUAAACCUCCACCCUCAGACUGAGCCUGAGUACAUCAAACAUCUUCAGCCAUCUCCAGGAGGGAUCACAUCAAAGACCGACACAGGCUUCUGCAAUCAUCACUAGUACCUUGUAAGUGGGUGUGUGACACUUACCUUUCCCAGGUGGGAAAAAACAAUCCAUGUCAACGCUGCUACGGGAAUGAGACACGGAGAGGGUGCUGCUGGGAACCAGACCCUCUAGAGGGGGCGAGUGUUCGGUGGUCCGCACCAGACACCAGCCGGGCCGCUCUCCGGACCUUUCCAAAAGCUCAACGGUCUGACCCGAUUGAAUGCUCAGCUCGCCCACAGAACCUGCGACAAAGUCCUGCAGAACCACGGUCUGCUCACAACCACCCGACAACUAUGGAAAGAGAGAGAGAGAUGGAGAGAGCUUAACGUUUUAAACUAUAAUAAGACACUUAAAGCCAUUUGAUUAGAAAUAUGAUAAAACUAGUGUUUAUGGUUAACCUCCUAAGACCCGAGCUUUGGUUUUUCUUUGUUUCAGAUUUGCUUGCACUUUUAGCAUAGCUUAGCACAAUCCAUUGAAUCUGAUUAGACCAUUAGCAUCGCGCUAAAAAAUAACCAAAAAGUUUCAAUAUAUUUUCUAUUUAAAACUUGACUCUUCUGUAGUUACAUCGUGUACUUGUCAUGGUUCUGCCAUCUUGUCCUUUAUUUAAUCUAGUCUUGUGGCAGAAUCAUGACAGACCCAUGUUUUGUGUGGGUUCACGUGGUCUUAGUAUUGAUUUACUGGACCACGUGUUCCCAGUGUCUUGUCUCUUUUACCCCGCUCCCUUGUCAUCCUCCUCAUUAUUGUUUGAUUUAUAUCACCUGUUCCCCUCUUGAUUUGUUACCCUAUUUAAUCCUCUUGUAUUCAUUGUCCUGUGCUUGUGCAUUGUUUCUGUGUUCCUAAAACC